rnacentral:piRNA from 1 species
UGCCACUUGAUCUUAGGAUUCUCUGACAUUC